rnacentral:lncRNA from 1 species
UUUGGAAUUUCACAUUUGGAAGUAUUAUUAUGUACUUUUAGAAAGAUGCUCAACAGAUUUUUCAGAGGCUAAAUGACAUUUUCUUAAUUAGUUUUGAUGGCUUCAGCUAACCAAAUAUGUACUUCUGUAUUUUUUAAGCGAGGGUAUACAAUUCUAUUACCUGCUUCAAGACUGUAGGAACAUUCAAAUUUUUUAGCUUUUACCUGUUACUUCUUAAAGAAUCUUCUCAAUGUAACUCUUCUUUCAUCCUA